rnacentral:rRNA from 1 species
GCUUAACGUUGCGUGUGCAGUGGGUACGGGCUGACUAGAGUGCAGUAGGGGAGUCUGGAAUUCCUGGUGUAGCGGUGAAAUGCGCAGAUAUCAGGAGGAACACCGGUGGCGAAGGCGGGACUCUGGGCUGUAACUGACACUGAGGAGCGAAAGCAUGGGGAGCGAACAGGAUUAGAUACCCUGGUAGUCCAUGCCGUAAACGUUGGGCACUAGGUGUGGGGGACAUUCCACGUUCUCCGCGCCGUAGCUAACGCAUUAAGUGCCCCGCCUGGGGAGUACGGUCGCAAGGCUAAAACUCAAAGGAAUUGACGGGGGCCCGCACAAGCGGCGGAGCAUGCGGAUUAAUUCGAUGCAACGCGAAGAACCUUACCAAGGCUUGACAUACACUGGACCGUUCUGGAAACAGUUCUUCUCUUUGGAGCUGGUGUACAGGUGGUGCAUGGUUGUCGUCAGCUCGUGUCGUGAGAUGUUGGGUUAAGUCCCGCAACGAGCGCAACCCUCGUUCUAUGUUGCCAGCGCGUGAUGGUGGGAACUCAUAGGAGACUGCCGGGGUCAACUCGGAGGAAGGUGGGGAUGACGUCAAAUCAUCAUGCCCUUUAUGUCUUGGGGCUUCACGCAUGCUACAAUGGCUGGUACAGAG